UAAAGUGCGAUAUCUAGUGCGAUUUGCAUGAAUCUGUGAGUCAUCGAGUCUUUGAACGCAACUUGCGCCACUUGGGCAACCAAGUGGCAUGUCUGUUUGAGUAUCACAAACCUCUUUAUUCCAAGCUUGGAAUAGAUUUGAAGGCUUUGGAGUUUUCCAAUCCUUUGAAAUAAAGUUUGUUGGUGAUUGAUUUGGUCACUACCAUGUGCUAAAGACUUUAUGUCUUGUCAUGUUAAUGAUCAUAGUCAACCCAUUGCAAGGCUAACCACUUUGCAAAACUACCUUUAAUGGUCUCAAAUCAGGCAAGACUACCCGCUGAACUUAA
rnacentral:misc_RNA from 1 species